UACGUAGGGCGCAAGCGUUAUCCGGAAUUACUGGGCGUAAAGCGUGCGCAGGCGGUUCUGAAAGUCAGCUGUGAAAGCCCCGGGCUUAACCUGGGAAUGGCGGUUGAAACUACAGGACUAGAAUCUGGCAGAGGGGGGUGGAAUUCCACGUGUAGCAGUGAAAUGCGUAGAGAUGUGGAGGAACACCGAUGGCGAAGGCAGCCCCCUGGGCUGAGAUUGACGCUCAGGCACGAAAGCGUGGGGAGCAAACAGG
rnacentral:rRNA from 1 species